rnacentral:lncRNA from 1 species
CUCCAUCUGCUUUUCAAAUUUAAAUUUUAAAGUCUGCAUUUUCCACUCCGGGUGCUGAGCCUGUAGAGAUGUAAAACAUUACAAAGCUUACAUCAUCUUUAUUGUUCCAGCUUUUUGACUUCUGAUGACUUCAGUUCAAGUCCCAGUUGGGCUCCUGAUCAGCAGGGUAGCUGAUUUCCCAAUGAAGAAAGAGAGGAAAUGUGUAAACUUGUUGAAGUGCUCCACAAGCUCCAGCUUGCAAACCUCGCAGAGGCUGCAGUCCAUCCAGUGCUCAGACUCUCACCUAAUACAACAUACUAGAAAGAUGGAAUUUGUUCUGGACUUUUCAUACAGCAGGAGGAUGUGAGAUUAUUGGAUACAGUGGGAUACCCACCAUGAGGAAUACAUAGGAAAAAAGAUAACGAAGGCAAUAUCAAAGACCAGAAAUCUUAAGCCACUGAUUGGCCA